UACGGAGGAUGCAAGCGUUAUCCGGAAUGAUUGGGCGUAAAGCGUCCGCAGGUGGCUAUGUAAGUCUGCUGUUAAAGAGUGAGGCUCAACCUCAUAAGAGCAGUGGAAACUACAUGGCUAGAGUGCGUUCGGGGCAGAGGGAAUUCCUGGUGUAGCGGAGAAAUGCGUAGAGAUCAGGAAGAACACCGGUGGCGAAAGCGCUCUGCUAGGCCGCAACUGACACUGAGGGACGAAAGCUAGGGGAGCGAAUGGG
rnacentral:rRNA from 1 species